AAACCAGCACCUCAAGUGGUCAGGAGGAUUAUUGGGCCUAAAGCAUCCGUAGCCUGUUCUAUAAGUUUCCGGUUAAAUCCACUAGCUCAACGAGUGGGCUGCCGAAAAUACUGUAGAACUAGGGAGUGGGAGAGGUAGACGGUAUUCGGUAGGAAGGGGUAAAAUCCUUUGAUCUAUUGAGGACCACCUGUGGCGAAGGCGGUCUACCAGAACACGUUCGACGGUGAGGGAUGAAAGCUGGGGGAGCAAACCGGAUUAGAAACCCCGGUAGUCC
rnacentral:rRNA from 1 species